ACUAGUUUGGCAGAGAAGUGUUUUGAAGUUAGAUUUCAAUAAUGUAACUGAAUUGUUACAAUUAGUA
rnacentral:tRNA from 2 species